rnacentral:tRNA from 1 species
CGCGGCCGGGCUACCGGCCCGCACGGGUGCGCUUUCACCGCGACACGGGCGCGGCCGUGCGCAACGGCGUGCGUUCGGCCUGCGCGAUCGCGA